GAUGAACGCUGGCGGCGUGCCUAAUACAUGCAAGUCGAGCGAACGGACGAGAAGCUUGCUUCUCUGAUGUUAGCGGCGGACGGGUGAGUAACACGUGGAUAACCUACCUAUAAGACUGGGAUCACUUCGGGAAACCGGAGCUAAUACCGGAUAAUAUCUUGAACCGCAUGGUUCAAAAGUGAAAGACGGUCUUGCUGUCACUUCUAGAUGGAUCCGCGCUGCAUUAGCUAGUUGGUAAGGUAACGGCUUAUCAAGGCAACGAUGCAUAGCCGACCUGAGAGAGUGGUCGGCCACACUGGAGCUGGGACACGGUCCAGACUCCUACGGGAGGCAGCAGUAGGGAAUCUUCCGCAAUGGGCGGAAGCCUGACGGAGCGACGCCGCGUGAGUGAUGAAGGUCUUCGGAUCGGAAAACUCUGUUAUUAGGGAAGAACAUAUGUGUAAGUAACUGUACACAUCGUGACGGUACCUAAUCAGAAAGCCACGGCUAACUACGUG
rnacentral:rRNA from 1 species